AUGAGGUUUCUUCAACGAGAUACCUCGGCUGCCGGCUCUAGCCUUAACUCAAGGGCGUUCGGCACGCCGGGUGACAGCGAGCAUCGAGAACGCGCGCCCCGGAAGAGCUUGUUCCGGCGCGCGCGUCGAACGACCGAGCGAGCGAGGGGCCCCGGCAACGGCCUCGGCGCGUGGUCGGGAGCGCGCCGGGCCGUGCGUGCGACUGCAGGCAGCCCUGCGUGUUGCGUGGGGGGCAGGGAAGGAAGGAAGCGCCCGCCCCCCGCCCGCCCUCUGAGUGCCCGUCGCGCGUGGGGUGAAGUUUUCCUAGCUUGCCUGACUUGGUCACUCUGGUGCCACUUCCCACUGGCUUCUGUGUCAUCUGCUGCUCUCAGACUGCCCACACCUGAGUGCAAAGCAAUUUCUCCAUUGCUGAGAAGUGACCUUGGAGGAGAAGGCUUGCUGAGACCCAUCUGGGAUGAUUUGUAUGUAGGCUGCAUCUGGCUCAAAUUCUUUAUCUUUCUGAGGAAAAACUGGUGCUACCUUACCUGGAGAAAUGUGUGA
rnacentral:lncRNA from 1 species